rnacentral:misc_RNA from 1 species
UACAGAGGUCCCAAGCGUUGUUCGGAUUCACUGGGCGUAAAGGGUGCGUAGGUGGCAUGGCAAGUUUGAUGUGAAAGCUCAGAGCUCAACUCUGAAAUGGCAUUGAAUACUGCUGUGCUGGAGGUUUGGAGGGGGGACUGGAAUUCUUGGUGUAGCAGUGAAAUGCGUAGAUAUCAAGAGGAACACCAGUGGCGAAGGCGGGUCCCUGGACAACACCUGACACUGAGGCACGAAAGCUAGGGGAGCAAACAGG